UACGUAGGGAGCAAGCGUUGUCCGGAUUUACUGGGUGUAAAGGGCGCGCAGGCGGGUCAGUAAGUCAGAGGUGAAAUCCUACAGCUCAACUGUAGAACUGCCUUUGAUACUGCUGAUCUUGAGUAUGGAAGAGAGAGACGGAAUUCCAGGUGUAGUGGUGAAAUACGUAGAUAUCUGGAAGAACACCAGUUGCGAAGGCGGUCUCUUGGUCCAAUACUGACGCUGAGGCGCGAAAGCGUGGGUAGCAAACAGGAUUAGAUCCCGUGUAGUCC
rnacentral:rRNA from 1 species